CCUUAGCCCUGAUGGAAGCGGCAUCCUUUUAUGGUGGGGUUCACCAUAAAAGAUAUAGCGGACAGCAGGAAAUAGC
rnacentral:sRNA from 4 species